AUUGAACGCUGGCGACAUGCCUUACACAUGCAAGUCGAACGGCAGCACGGGUGCUUGCACCUGGUGGCGAGUGGCGAACGGGUGAGUAAUACAUCGGAACGUACCUUAUCGUGGGGGAUAACGCAGCGAAAGCUGUGCUAAUACCGCAUACGCCCUGAGGGGGAAAGCGGGGGAUCGCAAGACCUCGCGCGAUUAGAGCGGCCGAUGCCUGAUUAGCUUGUUGGUGGGGUAAAAGCCCACCAAGGCGACGACCAGUAGCUGGUCUGAGAGGACGAUCAGCCACACUGGGACUGAGACACGGCCCAGACUCCUACGGGAGGCAGCAGUGGGGAAUUUUGGACAAUGGGGGCAACCCUGAUCCAGCAAUGCCGCGUGAGUGAAGAAGGCCUUCGGGUUGUAAAGCUCUUUUGUCAGGGAAGAAACACCGGCUCUAACACAGUCCGGGAAUGACGGUACCUGAAGAAUAAGCAUCGGCUAACUACGUGCCAGCCGCCGCAGUAA
rnacentral:rRNA from 1 species